GUGAAAUUGUUGUAAAGGGAAACGAUUGAAGUCAGUCGUACUGGCGGGAAAUCAACUUCUCGAGUGCUUGUCGUAGAUGACGUUGAGCCUCACGGCCGUUUGUUGUUUGUCGUUAUGGUGCGUUUUGAGGUGUACGUUUUCCGUUAACGUAGGUCAACAUCGAGUUUUGAUCGUCAUAAAAUGAUCGGAGGAAUGUGGCUCUGAUUUCGGUUGGAGUGUUAUAGCCUUUGGUAGAUGUGACGAUUGGGAUCGAGGAUUGCAACGAAUACCCUUUGGGCUAUCCGUCUGACCUCUGAAAGUCGCUCGGGUGUUGAAAGCUUGCUUAUAACAUUCUAGUUGGCGGUCAAAAGGUUAGAACGUGAUUACAUUCGUUAAGGAUGUUGACGUAAUGGCUUUAAACGAC
rnacentral:rRNA from 1 species